GAUGAAGAACGUAGCGAAAUGCGAUAAGUAAUGUGAAUUGCAGAAUUCCGUGAAUCAUCGAAUCUUUGAACGCACAUUGCGCCCUCUGGUAUUCCGGGGGACAUGCCUGUCCGAGCGUCAUUUGCAACCCUCAAGCCCGGCUUGUGUGAUGGGUGCCGUCCCCUACGGGACGCGCCCCGAAGGCAAUGGCGGCGUCGCGGUUAUCCGAUCAGCCAAAGUGUAUGGGGCUUUGUCACUCACUUUACGGCCCGGACCGGCGCCAGUCCGAAUCAAUCUUUUUUCUAAAGUUGACCUCGGAUCAGGUAGGGAUACCCGCUGAACUUAAGCAUAUCAAUAAGCGGAGGA
rnacentral:misc_RNA from 1 species